CGAGGAACACUUCAUCUGCAGCUGUAAACUCAGAACUGGUCCCUCUGAAGGCGAGCAUUCAUCUGGAGCACAUUUAUUAUGGCACCAGGCCCCCCCCUCGCCCCCGUCCCCUUGUAGGUGUCAGGACAGCAUUGUGCUCAUUGGUGGGUCUCUGUGGUUGUAACGUCAGGGCUGUACUUUCAAAUGGAAAUCAGGCAAUUACGCUCCACAUGGAGAAACCUGACAGAGGCAGAGGUUUGACACCACUGGCGGUGUCACAGGGACAAAGGCAGCCAGCGCUCCCAGGGGAUGGUUAAAUAAAUAGAGUAUGUUUCAAGAGCUCAGAGAAAUCCAGGAAUAAUUAACUGCGUGAUGAGAGUUCAUAGAUCCUGUGGCUGUUUAACUUCAAAAUGUGAUAAUGAUAUGUCAACGAACUGCUUAACUCAUCCUUGAAAAAGCAAAAAAGAGGCAUCGGAAAACCCAUCGGUGUGCAAAGAGGUGGGCGCCACUCUGCGCGUGCUUUCCCGUUUCCCACUGCAAAGCGUCUUUUUCAAACGCAGGGCAUUUUCUCCUGUUUCGCUUCCCCCACACAGAGGGCUCCAGAAGAGGGGUUGGUCACAGCCUGGUGCCCACUGCGGAGCAGCUUCUGGUCAUUCUGUGUUGAACACAGAGGCGCUCAGCUGGCAACUCGGGUGGUGAUAUUACCGUGGCUGCCACUGGUCCAUUAUCUAUGUGCCAGGCGCCAGCCACAGGCUCUAGCCUCGUAAGUGCCGUGACUACCCACACUUUACAGAUGCGAAAAUGAGCACAGAGGUUAAGUGGAAAAACUGGGCUUCAGGUCUGGCCCCCACCCAACUCUGGGCUUAGUGCUCAGACGCUAGGUUGUACCCUCCUACUGUUUCAACAGGGAGAUACUCAAAGCACCCUUAGAAAGCACCUACGUCAGAUGCAUAGGGUUAGAGUGGACAGGAGAAACGUGAAAUAAAGGCUUAGGACUGAAUUCCGCCCCCCGCCCCGCCGCCAAUACCCAGUUGUUUAAUCGAAUGGUUCAUUUGGCGCCUGAAACACGCAAGGUUUACUUGAUGUGUCCCAAACUGGAUUGAAAUCCAUCUAUACCACCAAAAAGCGCUCCCAAAUCCUGGCCGUUGCUCUUCUCUCUCAUGGAAGAGGACCCCAGAGCAGGCUUUGGUCCAUAACUCUGGACAUCACUCCCUUGGACUAGACAAAAGCUGGUUCCACUUGGAACUGAGAAAAAGAGAAGAGAUUUUUCUUAGAAAAUUUCAGCAAAUGAUCAUAGGUCUAUGUAGGCAUCUCUAAUGCGGUCUCAAAAACUGCUCAUGUGUAGGGUCCCUGAGGCCCCCCUCCUGCAGAGAAUACCCCAACCAAAGCAGGGCCGAGGAAAACAUCCACCAGCAGCUUGGCAAGCGGAGCCCUGUCCCAUCACGACUCGUUUGAUCUUAUUCAAGGGCCGGAAACCUUCAGGAGAGUCAAAAGCUUUUAGAGCAUCAGAGUUCCCGUCGUGGCACAGUGGUUAACGAAUCCGACUGGGAACCAUGAGGUUGUGGGUUCAAUCCCUGGCCUUGCUCAGCGGGUUAAGGAUCUGGCGUUGCCCUGAGCUGUGGUGUAGGUUGCAGACGCGGCUCAGAUCCUGCAUUGCUGUGGCUCUAGCAUAGGCUGGGGGCUACAGCUCCGAUUCGACCCCUAGCCUGGGAACCUCUGGCCCAAAGAGAUAGCAAAAAGACAAAAACAAAAAACCCGAGUUAAAAAGGACUGAAAACCUAAGUGACAAGCACAAAGGAGACUUAAGAAUGGACUACUCAACCAUAUCCCACGCACGCAAUGGGCCAGGCAGAGUCACCUGCCAUCACAGCAAGGCCUCGUUCCGUAGAGGCUGAGCAUUAAUGACUCAGAUGAAAAAAGUCAGUGGACAAAGUGGGAAAACCAAUUAAAAAUCAGGACUGUAUAAAAAAUUUUAGGUCAAGAACUGAAAAUGGAGGUUAAUAGCCUGAAAAUACAAGUCAUAGCUAACGUGAUUCAACUGGCCAAUGUCCAUGGUCAGUUACUGGCCUACCAUAUCCAUUCCACAAAAUAAAGUUAUGAUUCCACAAAGUUUUAAAUUAAGCAUUUGGUCAAAAGCAAAGUCGGUUUGAGAAAUUUCUAACACUUGCCUAGAUUCAACAAAUGUCAUUUUGCAAAGUUCAAGAUGCCCAAAUUUGCAGAGAUAAUUCAUUAAACCUGAGCUGUCAACUCAUUUGACCGUGACCAGUAAUGAGCAUCAGAAAUAGAGCCAGUAGUCAGUUUAACCUCCUCAAAACAGAAUCACGCUUAGCAAACCACACAACAAUCUUUGUGGCCAUCAACUUACGAUAGAAAAAAGAUUUUAAAAACACCCUCUGAUUAAAAAGCAAUGGCUUCUACUUUCCCCCUCUUUUACCACAUUUACUUGAAAAUACUCUAAUCUUAGGAUCGUGACUUUUUUUGAAGUCAACGGUGGUCGGCAUAAUCAAUUGAUUUUGACCCAAUGCUUCCAGAAAGAUGUGUUUGGUAUUUGACUAUUAACCAGGCCCUCAGAGAGCAGAUUGUGACUGUGACUCUGACCCUAGCUCCCUAACGCCUAAGCGUUUUAGGCCAAGUAAAGCAAGUUGCCGGCCAGUGAGGUGUGGAUACAUCAGCAGGGAUGCCACAGGGCAGGAAAGGGCUCAAGAACCACUUCAAUAAAGCACCGAACUUCUCUCCACUUGACCAUGGGCAGCAGGAACUUUGAAAAGCCACCUCCUGUAUUAAGAGGGGACAGUGGGCAGACAUGAAAACCACGUGGGAUUUCUCAGAUUCCCAUCGCCAUACCCUUGAGAAAAUCUUCAGACUGAGCCACAGUCCUCAGAUGGGUUGAGGUGAAAACACAGCUGAAAGCCGCUGACUUACAUCAAAACCUUAAUAAUGGCCAUCUUGGGGAACUAGAGUUUUGGGCGACUUUUCCUCCUUCAUGUGGUUGGUUUUAUCCUAAUGAUGCAGUGCAUUUCCAGCAAGCUGUUUACACGACCGGGCACUGGAGCUGAGCCACCGGGUUCGGAGGCUGGCUCUGCAGCUCAUCGGCGGGUACAAAUCGUCGUCUAUUUCUGACUCAGUUUUCUGUCAAGGCCAAGCUCACAGUGCCUUCCUCAAAAAGCUACAAUGAUUAGUGAGAUGACGUUCCCAAAGCAGGCAGUGCCUUGCCCAUUAGCGGUGCCAUCAGUGUUAACUGUUACAAAACCCUUAUACCGCUGUAUGGCUUCUUAGAGAAAUAGGCAACAAGUGGAAACCCCAUCUCACUGAUGGGGCCAAUACUACUUUCAGGUGCCACUGAUCACCUGGAAUAAAGCAAGAAGCAUCUGAGAUUCCUUCUCUACCGUGUGUCCCAGUGUUUAUCACUCAGGGCAACCUCAAUUUAUCAGCCACUAUGUCCAUUUUAAGCUACCAAUGGCUUCACGAAUGGCCUGCGACACUCCCAAAUAUUUAACAAUUCUAUUCAUGAGUCAGCACAAUGCUGGCUAGCCUCUCUGAAAUUUAACACUUUAAAUUGCAUUUUAAAUAGCAGUUUGUGUUUGACAAUGAUGGGUGGGGACCAGAAGGGGUGUGUGGGGGGGUGAACCCUGUCCAUAUCCUCAGGCCAGUGCUAACGAGUUAAUUCGUAGGCUGUAUUACCAGUGGGGGCCAUCAGCUGUACAUGGUUUUCUGGUUGGACUGGUUUUUUGGGGUUGAUUUCUCUUAUUGUGGAGGUAAAAUCUAGAGAUUCCUUGGAAACCUGUAGGGUUCUAACAAAUAAGACUAUUACUUCCCAAGCAGCUCCAGCACUGAGGAAAGGAGUGCGGUUGAGCAACCUCAGAACUGCUUUUUUAAAAGAUUCAAGUAUUUUUUCUUCAAUUCACCUUAAAGAUCAAAAAAGGUGUAAAUUAUGGUAUGUCUGCACCUGUACACUCAUCGCUUUGUCAUUUUUGCUUGUUUUAUAUUUAAAGUCAACACAUGUUUCUAUUUCCCCACUUCCUGUGUUACUCAGAAGAUAAGCUUAGUGGAAACCAGUGUAAAGCCUUUUUAACCUAAUAGAAUUCGAGUUUCUCCCCAUGUAAUAGGGAGUAUCCUCAUUUUUCACAAUUGCAUGUUUACGUGGCACAUUCAGAACGGCCCAAAUUCCAUGCACUCCUCUGCCCAUUGAGAGGUGGCUGGAUUCUUCACCGUGUGGUGACCUUUGUGACUUGGUUUGGCCAACAGUACAGAGCAAGCGAGGCUUGGCUUCGCAGGGGUGAAGAAACGGUCUGUUCCCACCUCCUGCCAACCCCCCCCCGGGGGGGGGCAGGUGCUUGGAGGGAGGUCUGAGGUUCAGGAAGCCUCCGCUCUAGGAGGUAGCCCAAAGCAGUACAUGUAGAGAGACCUUGCAGAGAGAUUCUUAGAGGGUCCCCAGCUACUUCCAUUCUAGCUCACACCCCAGACAUAGCCAAUGACGACAGUAGGGACUUCAGAUGAUUGGUAUCAACUAUUAUCUGUUUCGCCCUGAGAAUUCCUAAGCGCCCAGCUGAGCUCCAUCACCCCAUGGCAUGGGCCAGAGAGGGAGAGAAUACAGUGUUUUAACUUCUAUAUUUUGAGGUUGUUACAUAGCAACUGAUAACCGUAACACGUUUUGCAGCUACACGAUUUAGUUAGCCCCUUACAGGUCAUUGCGAACUUUGACUUCAAAAGAUGUAAUGAAUAGUCUUGCCUAUAUAUCGUUUUAUGCAGUUGCAAGUAAAGUUCCCAGAGCUGAACAUCGUCAAAGAAGUGAAUUUGCCCUGAUUCCCAUUCAUGUCAAGCAUACGUUUCCUUGCCCGUUUUUCUAUUCUUUUACGUAUCAGUUUCUAGACAGUCAUUCUACGUCACAGGAGGCACAACUUUUUUCCCCCCACUUAUCUUCGGAUUUUGGUCUGUUGACUUUUGCUCUCAAGAAUUAAGUCAAGUUUAACAUUUAAUCUUUGAUUCACUUGUUCUGAUGAAUACAGUUACUAGUAACAAAUUAUCUUUGUAGCAUGUAAGUGGAAUUACACACAGGGAUAUUUCACUAGGGGAGAUUUGACAUCUUUAUGAAGUUCAGUUUAUGCAAGAAGAUGGUAUUACCUUUGUAUUUAAGGCUUUCAAGUGUUUCAGAAUCAAUUUACAUGUUGACUUGCAACAUUGCUUAGAUUCAGCCUUGGUUACUUCAGCAUUUUUCAUUGUUAUGUUAAGUGUCAAAGAGCCUUCUCUUGCAUUGUAUUUAACGAGUUUAGAUUCAGGAGAGUUUUUGAAAGUGAUUGUUAAGCCUGAAAUAUUUUCGUGAGCUUUUUCAAAUGAUCCUUUUGGGUUAUCCAAGCAUACCAAUUCUAACUUUGCAGUUUCUGCAACUCUCAUUUCUGUUUAUAGCAUUUUAAUCUUACUCCUGACUUUAGUAGGAAUGCCAUUGGUCUCUCUCCUUUAAAGGUAACGUUGGCUUUCAACUUGGUUUACGUGGGAGAACUACACAUCUGUUCCUAGUCCACUGAAUUGUUUACAUCAAUGUAUUUUCAGUUUUAAGCAUCUAAAGUACAUAUUUCUUUGAUCAUCAAUACGGUGAACUCGCAUAUUAGACUUGCUAUUGAACCUUUUGCACUGAAUAAGCCCUGCUUUGUCACAUUGUAUUCUUUGAGUUGCUUGCAUCUGAGAUUUUGUUCCAUAUUUCUGCAUCAGUAUUUAAGUUGAACUGUACGAUUGUUACCAGGUCUCUGUAUGUUUUGCUCGCUUUUCAUCUGUUUAUUAGGCCUUUCCCAUAUCUACUUUGUUCGGCUGGCUUUUCUCACUUUGGUCACCCAAGUUCCUCACUUAAGUUUUGUUUCUUUUCCUGGUUCAUCUUCGAGUUUCUUUCCUCCCACUUCUACCCUGGGCCUCCCCAGCUCACACGUAGUCUCUUUGUCUUAUAACGGCUACCGACCAAUUACUGCAUCUCUGCUUUGUAGAAGCAAGUAAUUGACGUUUGUAGUAAACACUAAACUGCUUUCAGCUGUUUUCUGGCGACAUGUUAUCUGCCAUUUACCUUCCCUAAUCUUCGAGUUUAUUUCUCGAAUCUUUGAAAUAACUUCAGUUUUUGGCCUCUCACCUUUGAGGCAGGUGGAUUUUUCUUGGACCACAUGUCCGCAGGGCCACCUCCCAUCCUAGAAGUUCUCCUUAUGAACUAGGGUCUUCAGAUGGUUCUAGAUAUAUUCUUGCCAGCCGAAAGAGAAGCAGCCGAAAGAGGUUUUUAAGGAGCAUCUUUGCCCUGCUCCCGAUAGGUAGCAUGUUCCUUACAAGCAUGAACUUUUUAGAAAAUUUACUUUCUGCAGCUAAACUACACCCAGAAUUUUUUGCUGCCUCCACUACUACUUUCCCCUCUGCGGUAAACGUGAGAUCCAGACCCUCUUUCUCCC
rnacentral:lncRNA from 1 species